GUAGGUGAACCUGCGGAAGGAUCAUUAUUAUACAACCCACGGGGGUGGGCUCUCCGAAAGGACAGUCACGGGCGCCUCACGCGGCGUACCCUGGUUGGCGGCGGCGGUGCCUGUCCUGUUGUGGAGGGAGUACCCCUCUACAACACGCGCUUGCGCUGUGCGCCGAUCGAGCCCACCACCUGAAUACCACCCUUGCUUUUUGCGCACCCACUGUUUCCUCGGCAGGCUUGCCUGCCAGUAGGACCCCUUU
rnacentral:misc_RNA from 1 species